rnacentral:misc_RNA from 1 species
AAAAGAAGUGAACCAGGUCAUGGGCAGGGUAUUUUGGAAUUCCAAACUGAGAUCAUGGUCUUAUCCCAAAUUCGCCACGAUCAUCUUGUUUCCUUGAUUGGAUAUUGUGAUGAGAGGUCUGAGAUGAUAUUGGUUUACGAAUUUAUGGAAAAGGGCACUCUGAGAGAUCAUCUUUACAUUUCAGAUGCCGAUUCUGAAAAAUCUACUUCACGAUCUGAACUUUC